AGUGAACGCUGGCGGUAGGCCUAACACAUGCAAGUCGAACGGCAGCACAGUAAGAUCUUUCCCCUACGGGUGGCGAGUGGCGGACGGGUGAGGAAUACAUCGGAAUCUACUUUUUCUUGGGGGACAACGGAGGGAAAAUUACGCUAAUAACGCAUACGACCUACCGGUUAAAUCAGGGGUUCUUCGGACCUUUCCCGACUGAAAUAGCCGAGUCCGGAUUAGAUUGUUUGCGGGGUAAAGGCCCCCCAAGGCGACGCUCCGUAGCGUGUCUGAGGGGAUGAUCAGCCACACUGGAACUGAGACACGGUCCAGACUCCUGCGGGAGGCAGCAGUGGGGAAUAUUGGACAAUGGGCGCAAGCCUGAUCCAGCCAUACCGCGUGGGUGAAGAAGGCCUUCGGGUGGUAAAGCCCUUUGUUGGGAAAGAAAAGCAGCAGGUUAAUACCCCGCUGUUCUGACGGUACCCAAAGAAUAAGCACCGGCUAACUUCGUG
rnacentral:rRNA from 1 species